rnacentral:rRNA from 1 species
AGUGAACGCUGGCGGUAGGCCUAACACAUGCAAGUCGAACGGCAGCACAGUAAGAGCUUGCUCUUACGGGUGGCGAGUGGCGGACGGGUGAGGAAUACGUCGGAAUCUACUUUUUCGUGGGGGAUAACGUAGGGAAACUUACGCUAAUACCGCAUACGACCUACGGGUGAAAGCAGGGGAUCUUCGGACCUUGCGCGAUUGAAUGAGCCGAUGUCGGAUUAGCUAGUUGGCGGGGUAAAGGCCCACCAAGGCGACGAUCCGUAGCUGGUCUGAGAGGAUGACCGGCAACACGGAAAUGAGAAAAGGGCCAGACUCCUACGGGAGGCAGCAGUGGGGAAUAUUGGACAAUGGGCGCAAGCCUGAUCCAGCCAUACCGCGUGGGUGAAGAAGGCCUUCGGGUUGUAAAGCCCUUUUGUUGGGAAAGAAAAGCAGCAGGUUAAUACCCCGCUGUUCUGACGGUACCCAAAGAAUAAGCACCGGCUAACUUCGUG